UACGUAGGGGGCUAGCGUUGUUCGGAAUCACUGGGCGUAAAGCGCACGUAGGCGGAUUGCUAAGUCAGGGGUGAAAUCCUGGAGCUCAACUCCAGAACUGCCUUCGAUACUGGCGAUCUUGAGUCUGGGAGAGGUGAGUGGAACUCCGAGUGUAGAGGUGAAAUUCGUAGAUAUUCGGAAGAACACCAGUGGCGAAGGCGGCUCACUGGCCCGGUACUGACGCUGAGGUGCGAAAGCGUGGGGAGCAAACAGG
rnacentral:rRNA from 1 species